rnacentral:miRNA from 1 species
UUCAUGUCGGGGGUGUUUGUG